UGGCUGCAACCGUCUCCCGACAGCUGCCUCCGAGUUGACAUCUAAUCUGCCAUCUGAUUGGCUCCGCGCGCGCCAUUGGGCACCUCGCGCCGCUGAUGUAAAUAGAGGCGCUGGAGCGGCGCAGGCACAGGAGCCCCCGCCGCAAACAACGCCGGCACCGCCGGGGGCAGGGGGCACCGGCACCGCUGCUCGGGCACCUUCCCCCCUCCGUCCCCCCAUUCACUCUGGUUACACUGCGUGGUUUUCCUGGGCAUUGACUUUAUCUAUCUAUCUAUCUAUCUAUCUAUCUAUCUAUCUAUCUAUCUAUCUAUCUUAUUUGUUUUAGAUUUUUAAUUCCGCGCUAAUUGGUGGCGGUAGGGGAAGUAUCUUGUAAUAACAGUGCAUUUGGACGAGGAUUCGGGUUUUUCGCAUCACGCUGGUGCUUUCUUAAAAAAAAAAAAAAAAAAAAAAAGAAAAACAACAAAACCCCCAAGCAUUUUGUAAUGUUGCAGGUUACGGAUAUUAUGCAGGGGAUUAGGUCUUUAUUAAAAAAAAAUAAUCCCAAUACUAAUUUCAUCUAUUUGCUUGAUGCCUAACCUGUGCAUGCCUCUUAAAAAUGCCGUGUUUGCAUGUAAGCUGCUGUAGGAGUUUGGAAGAGCAC